UACGAAGGGGGCUAGCGUUGUUCGGAAUUACUGGGCGUAAAGCGCACGUAGGCGGAUAUUUAAGUCAGGGGUGAAAUCCCAGAGCUCAACUCUGGAACUGCCUUUGAUACUGGGUAUCUAGAGUAUGGAAGAGGUGAGUGGAAUUCCGAGUGUAAAGGUGAAAUUCGUAGAUAUUCGGAGGAACACCAGUGGCGAAGGCGGCUCACUGGUCCAUUACUGACGCUGAGGUGCGAAAGCGUGGGGAGCAAACAGG
rnacentral:rRNA from 1 species